rnacentral:rRNA from 1 species
AUUGAACGCUGCGGCAGGCUUAACACAUGCAAGUCGAGCGAGCGGCGGACGGGUGAGUAAUGCUUAGGAAUCUGCCUAUUAGUGGGGGACAACAUCUCGAAAGGGAUGCUAAUACCGCAUACUAAUCGAUGAGCCUAAGUCGGGUUGGCUAGUUGGUGGGGUAAAGGCCUACCAAGGCGACGAUCUGUCGCGGGUCUGAGAGGAUGAUCCGCCAAACUGUGACUGAGAAACGGCCCAGACUCCACCGGGAUGCAGCAGUGGGGAUUAUUGGACAAGGGGGGGAACCCUGAUCCAGCCAUGCCGCGUGUGUGAAGAAGGCCUUAUGGUUGUAAAGCACUGUAAGCGAGGAGGCGUUACUCGCAGAAUAAGCACCGGCUAACUCUGUGCCAGCAGCCGCGGUAAUAC